rnacentral:rRNA from 1 species
AGAGUUUGAUCCUGGCUCAGGAUGAACGCUGGCGGCGUGCCUAAUACAUGCAAGUCGAACGAGGUUAGAUAAGCUUGCUUAACUAACUUAGUGGCGAACGGGUGAGUAACACGUGGGUAACCUGCCCUUCAGUUGGGAAUACCUAGAGGAAACUUUAGUUAAUACCGAAUAUGUAACGAGAAGGCAUCUUCUUGUUAUAAAAGCAGCAAUUGCUGCGCUGAUGGAUGGACCUGCGGCGCAUUAGCUAGUUGGUGAGGUAACGGCUCACCAAGGCGCGGAUGCGUAGCCGACCUGAGAGGGUGAUCGGCCACAAUGGGACUGAGACACGGCCCAUACUCCUACGGGAGGCAGCAGUAGGGAGUUUUCGGCAAUGGGGGGAACCCUGACCGAGCAACGCCGCGUGAACGAUGAAGGUCUUCGGAUCGUAAAGUUCUGUUGUAGUUAGGGAAAGCCUGGAAGAGUGGAAUGCUUUCAGUUUGACCCGACUACCAGAAAGCCACGGCUAACUACGUGCCAGCAGCCGCGGUAAUACGUAGGUGGCAAGCGUUAUCCGGAAUUAUUGGGCGUAAAGAGUGAGCAGGCGGCCGUUUAAGUCUGAAGUCAAAUGCAGUGGCUUAACCACUGUCCGCUUUGGAAACUGGAUGGCUAGAGUACAAAAGAAGUAUGCGGAAUUCCCAUGUGUAGCGGUAAAAAUGCGUAAAUAUAUGGAGGAACACCCAGUGGCGAAGGCCGGCUUGCUGGGGCUGUAACUGACGCUGAGGCACGAAAGCGUGGGGAGCAAACAGGAUUAGAUACCCUGGUAGUCCACGCCGUAAACGAUGAGUACUAAGUGUCGGAAGAAAUUCGGUGCUGUAGCAAAUGUAUUAAGUACUCCGCCUGAGUAGUACGUGCGCAAGCAUGAAACUCAAAGGAAUUGACGGGACCCUGCACAAGCGGUGGAUCAUGUUGUUUAAUUCGUGGAUACGCGAAGAACCUUACCAGGCCUUGACAUCCUCUGCAAAGCUUAAGAGAUUAAGUGGAGGUUAACAGAGAGACAGGUGGUGCAUGGUUGUCGUCAGCUCGUGUCGUGAGAUGUUGGGUUAAGUCCCGUAACGAGCGCAACCCUUGCCGUUAGUUGCCAUCAUUAAGUUGGGGACUCUAGCGGGACUGCCAGUGAUAAACUGGAGGAAGGCGGGGAUGACGUCAAAUCAUCAUGCCCCUUAUGGCCUGGGCUACAAACGUGAUACAAUGGCUGGAACAAAGAGAAGCAAAGGGGCGACCUGGAGCGGACCUCAUAAAAACAGUCUCAGUUCGGAUUGGAGUCUGCAACUCGACUCCAUGAAGUCGGAAUCGCUAGUAAUCGUAGGUCAGCAUACUACGGUGAAUACGUUCUCGGGGUUUGUACUCACCGCCCGUCA